AGAACGAACGCUGGCGGCAUGCCUAACACAUGCAAGUCGAACGAGACCUUCGGGUCUAGUGGCGCACGGGUGCGUAACGCGUGGGAACCUGCCUUUAGGUUCGGAAUAACUCUCCGAAAGGGGUGCUAAUACCGAAUAAUGUCUUCGGACCAAAGAUUUAUCGCCUUUAGAGGGGCCCGCGUUGGAUUAGCUUGUUGGUGGGGUAAUGGCCUACCAAGGCGACGAUCCAUAGCUGGUCUUAGAGGAUGAUCAGCCACACUGGGACUGAGACACGGCCCAGACUCCUACGGGAGGCAGCAGUGGGGAAUAUUGGACAAUGGGCGAAAGCCUGAUCCAGCAAUGCCGCGUGAGUGAUGAAGGCCCUAGGGUUGUAAAGCUCUUUUACCCGGGAUGAUAAUGACAGUACCGGGAGAAUAAGCUCCGGCUAACUCCGCGCCAGCAGCCGC
rnacentral:rRNA from 1 species